GAUGAACGCUGGCGGCGUGCCUAAUACAUGCAAGUCGAGCGAACGGACGAGAAGCUUGCUUUUCUGAUGUUAGCGGCGGUCGGGUGAGUAACACGUGGAUAACCUACCUAUAAGACUGGGAUAACUUCGGGAAACCGGAGCUAAUACCGGAUAAUAUUUUGAACCGCAUGGUUCAAAAGUGAAAGACGGUCUUGCUGUCACUUAUAGAUGGAUCCGCGCUGCAUUAGCUAGUUGGUAAGGUAACGGCUUACCAAGGCAACGAUGCAUAGCCGACCUGAGAGGGUGAUCGGCCACACUGGAACUGAGACACGGUCCAGACUCCUACGGGAGGCAGCAGUAGGGAAUCUUCCGCAAUGGGCGAAAGCCUGACGGAGCAACGCCGCGUGAGUGAUGAAGGUCUUCGGAUCGUAAAACUCUGUUAUUAGGGAAGAACAUAUGUGUAAGUAACUGUGCACAUCUUGACGGUACCUAAUCAGAAAGCCACGGCUAACUACGUG
rnacentral:rRNA from 1 species